rnacentral:lncRNA from 1 species
AAGAAAGGUGUGACAUCCUUGCUGGCUUCAAUGUGAAGAGCCACCCUGAUUCUGGGAUUCUGAUAGGAAUAAGGUAGAUGAUGCAUAUCUGAACCUGGAAACCGCUUCCCACUGUAGAGCGUGUCUGAGUCAUGUCCCUUAGCUUCAGCAGAGCAGAUCCAGCAGGCUCUGAGCUUGACCUCUUUGCCUGAAGCGAGACCUCUAGGUAACGUCUCCAGGGAGGGUGGCACAAAGGAUCCUGGAUCUCCUGAUCACAGCAGCCCAAGAGUGCCGUGUGUGCACCAUGGCUCAAGAAGACUUAAAAAGGGGAAAGUAUGACUAUUUCUAAUCUGUAGUAUUUCAGUAUUUUUAAUGUUUCGGUAAUCUGUAUGAAAAAGAAUUUGCAAUAAAUAGAAUAAUUUGCCUAAAAUUGAAUCUAUUUCACCAAUAAAAUUGGCUUUUAAUCAAGUGAUAAAUCCUGUAAAAUAGAUAAUAAAUGCAGUACCAACAUAGUUUGAUUCUAGUACACUGAGAUAAUCUUGAAUACGUUAAGAAAGUCUUGUUUGUAUAGAAGAGUUUCAAAUCAUGUGAGUGAUGAAGGGACCCUUCUGUUGAACCUUGGUGUGCAUUUUAGGUCCAUUUUGGGUUUACUCCUUUGUGCUGCUUCAUGAUGCCUUAGGACAAGGACAAGGCCUAGGCCUCCUUGUCUCAGUUCCCUCCUGCUCUCUCUGUUGCCCUCCUCCUUCCACCUGGAGCAUGGCCCAGCAUCAGGUUGGCGCAUGCUGUGAUCAGCUACCUCCAUGUACCACACCAAGCAAAGCUCUCUGGGUGACACAGUUGCCACCACCAGGGCACUGACCCUUACUCUGUGUUCUCCUAGCUCCUCCUGAGGGUGCUGUAGGAGACAUCUGCAAAAAAGAAGAUGCUGGCAAUAUGCCAUCAACCUCAGAGGGGAGUAUUUACCUUGAAAUGGCUCACUUCCUGAGGAACAAACUUGCUGGAUCUAGUGUACGGAAACCUGAUUCUGGGUUCCUUUGGGAAGGAGCAUUACGGGCCUGCUCCUGGACCACCUCAUAUCACCAGCACCCUCUACCCAAGGUCCUGGAGCCAACACUGGAGUAAAAGAGCACAAGAGAACUCCUUAGAGGUGGAAGAUAACCCUAAGGAAUAUCUUGGAUGUCUUCACGGGGCUUAUGACUUAUUCUGAGGUUUACAAAAUAGAGGCCCCCAGCUGAGCAAAGAGAGGGCUGCAGCGCCGAGGGAACAGCUGCCGGACUCACCGGAGAGGCCUCCUGGAGCACGCCGGGACCCCCUCCACCCCCUGGCUUUGGCUGCAUCAAUGGCUAGUUUGCCUGAACUAUAUCUGAGCCACUGAGAGUAUUUAUUAAGCAGAGAAUAAUUUUGAGUUUCACUUUUAUAACUUUUGUUUCAAAAGUUGUUUUGGAUAAUUUAAUGAAAUGACUGUAAACCAGAAUUCCCCUUUUCAUUAUUUCUUUGUGUCAAUAUAAAAAGAGUUGAUGAUUUUAAAAGCCAGUGAGAUGUCCCUGUCUGUGGAUGUCAGCGGGAGGGUGGGGUCUGACGCCUUUCUCUGGUGGCUGUCCAGGAAGAUUGCCCCAGCUUGCACUCCCUUUUGGCGGGUUCCAGAGCCUUCCAUUUGAAAGGAGCAUCUCUCACCACUCUGCCCCACCCAGCACCAGCUCUUCUGGAACCCACUGACUUCCUAAACACUUUCUUCCUCCUUCACCUCAUUGAAUUCAAGACUUUAGAAAACAGCCAAAAACUCUAGAGGUGGGGGUGGGUUCGAUCUGGAAAUCCCUGCUGUAAUCUUUUUAAGGGAAUCCACUGGAAAUUAUUAAUUUAUGUUUUAAAUAAAACCAUUCCUUACUUAACAGAAUAUUAAGCCACUCAUUUUUUUAACAGAACUUUCGAGAUAUAAUUAAAAUGCCAUAAAUUUCACCCCCACACAGUGUACAAUUCCAAGGUUUCCAAUAUAGUCACAGAAGUCUCUGCAACAAUUACCACAAUUUUAGACAUGAAGACCAUUUGUUGGCAGCCCUACCUGCCUCUAUGUGUAUGUAUAUAAUUUUAAUAUUGGAUUGGAUACUAUAGUAAUAUUGUACUGUUACCUAUUUGUGUUUUUAUAUUGCUGUUUUAUUUUAUUCAGAUGAAUAAUAAUUAUCUCCAUAUAGUCAUACAUUUAUAUAGGGUUAAACACACCUUUUUACAAUUCAAUAAAUUAAAUUGGUCAGGUAUGGUGGCUCACGCCUGUAAUCCCAGCACUUUGGGAGGCCAAGGCGGGUGGAUCACCUGAGGUUGGGAGUUUGAGACCAGCGUGAUCAACAUGGAGAAACCCUGUCUGUACUAAAAAUACAAAAAAUUAGCCAGGCAUGGUGGCACAUGCCUGUAAUCCCAGCUACUUGGGAGGCUGAGGCAGGAGAAUCACUCGAACCAAGGAGGCGGACAUUGCGGUGAGCCAGGAUCGCACCAUUGCACUCCAGCCUGGGCAACAAGAGCAAAACUCCAUCUCAAGAAGAAAAAAAAAAAAAAAGUAAAUUGUUUUUAAUUACAUAAGAAACACGUGUUAUUGUUAUAGAAAUUCACAUAGUGCUUCGGUCUAUAGAAUAAAUGUAUCCCCACCACCUCCCAGCCCACCCACUCGUCUGCAUUCACCUACACACAGUUAAACAUGCACAUAUGUUUCCGUGACACGAUCUUGCUUUGCAUAUUGUUCACUGACUGGCUUUUCCAUAUAAGAUUUAAUUUGGUGAUUAUUGCUUAUCAGUACCUAUAGGUCUCUCUCAUUAUUAUUUAUAAUUACAUCAUUAUUCCAUAGGGUAUUUUACCACAAUUUGGUCACUUUUUCACUGAGGAAUUUUUAUGUCAGUUUCAGUUAUUUGUUAUUGUUACCAAUGCUGUACUGGGCAUCCCUGUAUAUCCACCUUUUUGUUGCAUUAGUUAAGUGGUUUUUUCCUUUUAUGAUUGAUUUCUAAAAAUAAAAUACUGCAGCAAA